UUAAAGUAGUAAGGGCGCAGGGUGGAUGCCUUGGCACUAAGAGCCGAUGAAAGACGUGAUAAGCUGCGAAAAGCUUCGGGGAGGAGCACAUAUCCAUUGAUCCGGAGAUAUCUGAAUGGGGAAACCCGGCAGAGGAAACCUCUGUCAGCAUGUAGUGAAUCCAUAGCUGCAUGUGGGGAACCCGGGGAACUGAAACAUCUAAGUACCCGGAGGAAGAGAAAGAAAAUUUAUCGAUUUCCAAAGUAGCGGCGAGCGAAAUGGAAGGAGCCCAAACCGUGGUGCGUGCAUCACGGGGUUCGGACUGCGACAUGAGAGACGUAAGAUAGGAGAACGGACUGGGAAGUCCGGCCGGAGAGAGUGAAAGCCUCGUAUCCGAAAUCCCAAGUCAUCUAGCAGGAUCCAGAGUAGGACGAGACACGAGAAACCUUGUCUGAAGGAGCGGGGACCACCCCGUAAGGCUAAAUACUUCUUAGUGACCGAUAGCGCAUAGUACUGUGAAGGAAAGGUGAAAAGUACCCCGGGAGGGGAGUGAAAGAGAACCUGAAACCCUGUGUCUACAAGCUGUGGGACCUCUUUAUAUGAGGGACUGCGUACUUUUUGUAGAACGGUCCGGCGAGUUGUGCGUACUGGCGAGGUUAAGGACUUAAGGUCCGGAGCCGAAGUGAAAGCAAGCGUUAAGAGCGCGGUAAGUCAGUGAGUGCAGACCCGAAACCGGGUGACCUAUCCAUGUCCAGGUUGAAGCUUCCGUAAGAGGAAGUGGAGGACCGAACCCACAUCCGUUGAAAAGGGUGGGGAUGAGGUGUGGAUAGCGGAGAAAUUCCAAUCGAACCCGGAGAUAGCUGGUUCUCCUCGAAAUAGCUUUAGGGCUAGCCUCAUGAGAGUCUUAUGGAGGUAGAGCACUGAAUUGCCUAGGGGGCGUCAAAGCUUACCAAAGCAUAUCAAACUCCGAAUGCCAUCAAGAUGAUUCAUGGGAGUCAGACCAUACGAGAUAAGUUGGAUGGUCAAAAGGGAAAGAGCCCAGACCUACAGCUAAGGUCCCAAAGUGCGUGUUAAGUGGAAAAGGAUGUGGGGAUUCUAAGACAACUAGGACGUUGGCUUAGAAGCAGCCAUUCAUUGAAAGAGUGCGUAAUAGCUCACUAGUCGAGAGUCCCUGCGCCGAAAAUGUCCGGGGCUGAAACACGACACCGAAGCUUAGGAAUGUGUAAACAUUGGUAGAGGAGCAUUGCUAGCGGGAUGAAGCCAUACCGAAAGGAGUGGUGGACUGCUAGGAAGAGAGAAUGCCGGAAUGAGUAGCGAGAUGAAGGUGAGAAUCCUUCAGGCCGAAUAUCUAAGGUUUCCAGAGUAAAGCUGAUCUGCUCUGGGUAAGUCGGGACCUAAGGCGAGGUCGAAAGACGUAGUCGAUGGAUAACAGGUUGAAAUUCCUGUACCGCAUAUAAACAGAACUGUGGGGACACAGACAGGGAAUGGAAUCCGGGGAUGGAGAACCCGGAGCAAGCGAGGUAGGAGUAUCAUUGGCAAAACCGUGAUACUGAUCUGAAGACGUGAUGCGUACCGAACAUAAGUAGGGAAGUCCAGGCCCCUGGCUGUCAAGAAAAGCCGCUAUUGUUUUAUAUGUGCCCGUACCGCAAACCGACACAGGUGGAUGAGGAGAGAAUCCUAAGGCCGACGGGAGAAGUAUUGUUAAGGAACUCGGCAAAAUGACUCCGUAACUUCGGGAGAAGGAGUGCCAUGAGAGUGGCCGCAGAGAAAUGGCCCAAGCAACUGUUUAGCAAAAACACAGGUCUAUGCAAAACCGCAAGGUGAAGUAUAUGGGCUGACGCCUGCCCGGUGCUGGAAGGUUAAGGGGAGAGGUUAGCGCAAGCGAAGCUUUGAACUUAAGCCCCAGUAAACGGCGGCCGUAACUAUAACGGUCCUAAGGUAGCGAAAUUCCUUGUCGGGUAAGUUCCGACCCGCACGAAAGGCGUAAUGAUUUGAGCGCUGUCUCGACAAUGCAUCCGGUGAAAUUGAAGUACCAGUGAAGAUGCUGGUUACCUGCGCCAGGACGGAAAGACCCCAUGGAGCUUUACUCCAGCUUGAUACUGGGAUUCGGUAUUGCAUGUACAGGAUAGGUGGGAGGCUAGGAAGUGAUAACGCCAGUUGUCACGGAGCCGCUGUUGGGAUACCACCCUUGCAGUAUUGGAUUUCUAACCAGCGACCAUGAACUGGCCGGGGGACAAUGUCAGGUGGGGAGUUUGACUGGGGCGGUCGCCUCCGAAAGGGUAUCGGAGGCGCUCAAAGGUUCCCUCAGAAUGGUUGGAAACCAUUCGAAGAGUGCAAAGGCAGAAGGGAGCUUGACUGCGACACCGACGGGUGGAGCAGGUACGAAAGUAGGACUUAGUGAUCCGGUGGUAUAAAGUGGGAUUGCCAUCGCUCAACGGAUAAAAGCUACCCUGGGGAUAACAGGCUUAUCACUCCCAAGAGUUCACAUCGACGGAGUGGUUUGGCACCUCGAUGUCGGCUCAUCGCAUCCUGGGGCUGUAGUAGGUCCCAAGGGUUGGGCUGUUCGCCCAUUAAAGCGGUACGCGAGCUGGGUUCAGAACGUCGUGAGACAGUUCGGUCCCUAUCCGGCGUGGGCGUAGGAUAUCUGAGAGGAGCUGUCCUUAGUACGAGAGGACCGGGAUGGACGGACCGCUGGUGUACCGGUUGGCUUGCCAAAGCCAUGGCCGGGUAGCCAAGUCCGGAAGGGAUAAACGCUGAAGGCAUCUAAGCGUGAAGCCCCCCUCAAGAUGAGAUAUCCCAUUCUUAGUGAAGUAAACCCCCUUGAAGACGACGAGGUAGAUAGGGCAGAGGUGGAAGUGUGGUAACACAUGGAGCUGACUGAUACUAAUCGGUCGAGGGCAUGACCAA
rnacentral:rRNA from 1 species